AUAUCUGUUUCAUGACUGGGUGAGUGAGAUGUCUCCAAAGGAAUGGCCGUGGUCAGCAUCCCGGACUCAUCAAAGCUAAAUUACCGCUCGAUAAUAUUGCAUUUUGUGCUGCACGGAUGCUCGCGCACACCUGAGCGGACCGGGGCGCUCCGCUGCCUAAUUUCUCCUUUGUGGGAGAGUGGAAGAGAGAGAGAAAGACAAAGAGAAACAUCGAUAUGCAAUCAAGCAACAAGCUGGCGUAAUCCAGGAGUUUAAACAACUGAUGGGCCAACUGAUCCACAAUUUGGGGUCCCUAUUUUUUUGGAGCAAACAAUUAUGUGUGAGGUGCUGGACAUACCAAGAUGAAAACGCAGAACCAAGUUGAGAGUUUCCAGCCCAGUAACCUCCAUCCAGGUACCACCAUGCCCAAUCCCUGUGCAACUUCUACCACACUAAGGCAUUGAUUAAAAAGAGAAAAAUGGCCCUAACCGGUUUGGCUCAAUGGAUAGAGCGUCAGCCUGCGGACUCAAGGGUCCCAGGUUCGAUUCCAGUCAAGGGCAUGUACCUUGGUUGUGGGUACAUCCCCAGUAGGGGGUGUGCAGGAGGCAGCUGAUCGAUGUUUCUAACUCUCUAUCCCUCUC